GGUGGCUCAGUGGUAGAGUGCUUGUCUUGCACGCAUGAGGCCCAGGGUUCAAUUCCUCAGCACCA
rfam:Dipodomys ordii contig_66455, whole genome shotgun sequence.